rnacentral:lncRNA from 1 species
UUCUGAGGAGGUUCCAACUUAUCAGAGAGAUCGUAACCCGAGGAGAUGUAGCAGUGGAAAGAGUUCCAUCCGAAGAUAACAUUGCAGAUCCAUUGAUAAAACCGUUGUCUCAUUUUGUCUUUGAGCGUCACAGGGGUCUGAUGGGGAUCAGACACAUAGGUGAUUGGCUUUAGGUCAAGUGGGAGAUUGCUAGUCAUAAGUGCCCAGCAAGCCAAUCACGUGAGUGAUGGCACGUGUGACUUGAUACAUAAUCUUUUUGCUUAUUAUAUUU